UUUUAGCCCAGAUCAAAAUGGAAACCCCACAGUGAAUAAAGCGUAUUGUUGCUGUGGUUGUAGAGCGACCGUAGAAAGCUCCUGCAAGUGCAUUGCAACAAAGGCUUUAUGAACGAGGAGUUGAAAUGGAGAGCCGGAUUAGCU
rnacentral:sRNA from 1 species